UACGUAGGGUGCAAGCGUUAAUCGGAAUUACUGGGCGUAAAGCGUGCGCAGGCGGCUAUGCAAGACAGAUGUGAAAUCCCCGGGCUCAACCUGGGAAUGGCAUUUGGGACUGCAAGGCUUGAGUGCGGCAGAGGAGACUGGAAUUCCUGGUGUAGCAGUGAAAUGCGUAGAUAUCAGGAGGAACACCGAUGGCGAAGGCAGGUCUCUGGGCUGACACUGACGCUGAGAAGCGAAAGCAUGGGGAGCGAACGGG
rnacentral:rRNA from 1 species